rnacentral:rRNA from 1 species
GACGAACGCUGGCGGCGUGCCUAAUACAUGCAAGUAGAACGCACAGUUUAUACCCUAGCUUGCUUCACGAUAGACUGUGAGGUGCGAACGAGUGAGUAACACGUAGGUAACCUGCCUGGGAUCGGUGGGUAACUAUGGGAAACGAUAGCUAAUACCUCAUGAUAUUAAUUAUUGCAUGAUAAUUAAUGGAAAUGUUCAAUUGCACCACUACCAUAUGGACCUGCGUUGUAGUAGCUAGUAGGUGAGGUAACGGCUCACCUAGGCGACGAUACAUAGCCGAACCGAGAGGGGGAUACGGCAACAUGGGAACUGGACACGGCCCCGACUCCUAAGGGAGGGAGCCGGAGGGAAACCUUGGGAAUGGACGAAAGUCUGAACGAGCCACGCCGCGGGAGGGAAGAAGGGUUUCGGAUCGUAAAGCUUUGUUGUAAGAGAAGAAAGGAUGUGGGAGUGGAAAGUUCACAUCGUGACGGUAUCUUACCAGAAAGCGACGGCUAACUACGUG